rnacentral:tRNA from 1 species
UCUAACGUGGCAGAUAAGUGCGUUGGAUUUAAGCUCCAAACAUAAAGUGGUACAACUUUCAUUAGAAUCA